ACGCAACAUAGUUAUACUUUUUGGUAUAAAUAAGCCCCCCAAAGUCUCAGUUAGUAUCACCAGCUUUUGUAAACAAUUUUAUCCUACAAUCUCCAACAAAACCAAAACCCAACUUUCAAAAUGAACAAGCUUUUUGCCGUCCUCCUCUUGGCCGCCGUCGUUGCCGCCGCUAGCGCCCAAUACUACGGCUCCUACGGAUAUUCAGGUCUCGGAUAUUCCGGACUUGGAUACUCCAACUACGGAUACUCUGCCUACCCAGCUUACUCUGGAUACUCCUCCGGAUACAAUGGUCUCGGAUAUGGUGGUCUCGGUUACUACAAGAAGUAGAUUCCCUUCUUCUUAUUCCUUGGACGCAACCAGCAUUUUUGUAAAUCAACUCGGCCCGUUUUCUUGAUCGGCUAUGUAAAAUUAGUUAAAAUAUGUCUAAUUCCAUCAGAAAAAUAGGUUUUGUUUUCUCCAUCAAACGAGUAAAUAAAUUUCUAUUUGAGAAAUUUUCGUCCUACUUUUAA